rnacentral:lncRNA from 10 species
GAAGUUACACAAGUUGUUUGUAGAAAAUAUGGAAAUUACCAAGAAGCAGGAAGGGGAAUCCGAAUCCCUCAAAUGCAGCGGGGAGACGGUGUGACUUUGCCUCCUGUUCUCCUUCGUUCCUGCUGAGUGUGAGAGGCCUGCUUAGGUGCUGAGAGGUGUGAGGGGCACUAAGCCUCCAGGCAUCCAGCAACCCUCGGCCGCGUGUCGCACACAUCCCGGGUUUCGGACGAGUGUGAAGCUCACGGAAAAGCCAGGUGGGUUCUCCAAGGUGGAGCCACAGGGGGACAGGAGAGCGUCGGUGACCAGGGUCAGCAUCCGGUGAGGUGCAGUUUUGUCCUGCCUUUCACCUGAGCUCCUGAGGGGUGCCCGGUGCAGAAAAAGUCUUCAGAGACCCCCCCAGUGGCCGCGCGCACCACGUGGUUGAACCCCGAAGAAGGCUGAACUCCAUCCAAGCCCCUGAGGCCAGACAUCUCCACGGUUCCCAGUUUUCCAAUACUGCGGAGAGUUUUCCAGCCUCUCCAGGGCAGAGGCUGUGUCUGGUGAAUGUCCAGGCACUGCAGCGCCUGGCACACGGCACUGGGUAGGUGCUUAACACAACAUGUGAACAAAUAUUUAUUGAACUACAUAAAGGUAAAC